CUUUAGGUGGCCGAGAUUAGGCCCUGGACUUUUAAUCCAGACACGGUUUUUCAACCCCUAA
rnacentral:tRNA from 1 species